UACGUAGGGUGCGAGCGUUGUCCGGAAUUAUUGGGCGUAAAGGGCUCGUAGGCGGUUUGUCGCGUCGGGAGUGAAAUCCACUGGCUUAACUGGUGGCCUGCUUUCGAUACGGGCAGACUGGAGGUAUGCAGGGGAGAACGGAAUUCCUGGUGUAGCGGUGAAAUGCGCAGAUAUCAGGAGGAACACCGGUGGCGAAGGCGGUUCUCUGGGCAUGUCCUGACGCUGAGGAGCGAAAGCGUGGGGAGCGAUCCGG
rnacentral:rRNA from 1 species